GUGAAAAUGAAAUUCACGAUGCGGAGGAAUGCUCCUUUGCUUCUACGGAAGAGUGGACUGAAGACAAUAUUUCAUGAAAAUCAGAAGAUUUUUCAGGCUUGUGUUCAGACCUGGGUCCCAACUGAUGAGCCUAUUGUUGGCAACUUGCAAAACAGCAGGAAUGACAGACAUGGUAGAUUCAUGGUCCAAAGGACCAGCGUCAGCGAGAGAUGGCUGGAGGAACAGCAUCUGAGCCAGACAUUAGGUUCUAGGCCAUCUUUACAUCUUCUUGUGUGAAGGUUCAUGCCUGACUGCUGGUUUCAAGUCCUUUUCAUCCAGGAAGGAAAAGACCUGAUCAGGUAAGGCAGUACCCACUCUUCCACUUCCCUCCUUUUUUGCAUCAUUUCAUUUUCAUUGCUCUGUCUAGCACUUAAUACUUUCUAGUGUAGUCAUUA
rnacentral:lncRNA from 1 species